rnacentral:lncRNA from 1 species
CCUAAAUGCAUUUUGAGCCAAAUUUUUUUUUACAUUAUUAUAAUAUUUUUUAAUAUUUUACAUUUUUAAGCAUUACUUGUUAGGCUAAGGUCCCAGAAGCAAUUUUUGAAAGUUUGCAAGAAAUUCACAAUUUGGUUAUUUCUGAGCCCAAAAUUAUUUAUCAAAAUGGUAAGGGGUUAGCCUUGCAUUUUUAUUAGAAUUGGUUCAAAAUUUUAUUUUUCUCCAAAUUCUCCCAAAAUGCGUUUUGAGCCAAAUUAAUAUAUUUGACAUUUUUAAGCAUCACUCGUUAUUCUAAGGUCCCAGAAGCAAUUUUUAAAAGUUUGCAAAAAAAUCACAAUUUGGUCAUUUCUGAGCCAAAAUUAUUUUAUCAAAAUGGUAAGGGGUUAGCCUUGCAUUUUCAUUAAAAUCGAGUCAAAAUUUUAUUUUUCUCCAAAUUCUCCCAAAAUGCAUUUUAAGCCAAAUGAAUAUAAUCGACAUUUCUAAGGUCCCAAAAGGAAUUUUUAAAAGUUUGCAAGAAAUUCACAAUUUGGGUAAUGUCUGAGCCAAAAUUAUUUUAUCAAAAUGGUAAGGGGUUAACCUUGCAUUUGUAUUAAAAUUGGUUCAAAAUUUUAUUUUUUUUCCACAUUCUCCCAAAAUGCAUUUUGAGCCAAAUAAAUAUAUUUGACAUUUUUAAGCAUCACUUGUUAUUCUAAGUUCCCAGAAGCAAUUUUUAAAAGUUUGCAAGAAAUUCACAAUUUGGUUAUUUCUGAGCCAAAAUUAUUUUAUCAAAAUGGUAAGGGGUUAACCUUGCAUUUUUAUUGAAAUUGGGUCAAAACUUUUCGUUAUUUGAAAUAUACUCCAAAGACGCAUUGUGAGCCCCAAAAUAUAUAUGUAGUUUGAAUAUAGUUUGACAUAUAUUUUAGGCUACACCUAGUGGAUUUUUAUUAUAAGUGGGUCAAAAGGUUAACCUUCAAUGUUUCACUAAAAAUUGAUGCAAACUGACAAUUCCGAGAAUCUUUUAGAAAUGGUGUUUUUUCUGCACAAUUAACAACUAUUGAACUUUGAUAGUAUGUUUUAAGACCCAGAAAUAAUUUUUGUUAAAUUUUCGAGAAAUCAAAAUUUUAUCAUUUUUUUGAACCAAAAUUAAUCGUUGUUUUAAUCAAGUUUCCACUCUAUAUAAAAUAUAAUUAAGCGGUUUUCUACACCCAGCUCAAAAACAAAGAAAAAGUCCAAUAUAUGACUACAUGUAGGGGUUGCUUUUAAAAAUAAAAAACCUAGAUUAAAAGGGGUAUUUUACGUAAAUUUCAUAUUUUCAAAGUCUGUUGGUGAAUGUUAAUUUAUAAUUAUUCGCCCUAACAAAUAGGAUGUGAAGAGAGCUAUUUUUUAUCAAUAACAGUUGUAAAAUUUCUUUCAAAUGUACUCUAUAUCUGGUUAAUAUUUCAGAGAAAGUGCUUUUCAUUUGCUGUAUUAUGGUAAAACUUUUUAAGAGUUAACACUCAUUGUAUAAACAUUACAUUGUUACGCAUUGUAAAUUCGAUGUAUAUUUUGUACUGCAAUUUUGUAUCAAAAUUCAGGAAUAAAUUUCAAAACCAUGAAAUGGCAAGUUGAA